CAUCAAGGCCUCAAAAAAAAUUGAAAUCAAUUCCUUGCCUGGAUUAUCCUGGAGAUUAUUACAUUGAUCGUGAUCAAAUUGUUGAUGAGGAGGAGGAGUCUGAUACCCCUGGAUAUCUCGAAGGCCCUCCCAG